rnacentral:pre_miRNA from 1 species
AGAGCCCAAUGUAGCCAAGUAAUAAAUUGCCGACCAAAUACUGACUAAUUUUUCAAGAUGUUGAUGUAUUGAUCAUCAUUCUACUUGGUACUAAUUGUUACACUGCCGGCAAUUCAUCCUUGGCUCUACUGUACUCUCA